rnacentral:rRNA from 1 species
CCUACGGGAGGCAGCAGUGAGGAAUAUUGGACAAUGGGCGCAAGCCUGAUCCAGCCAUGCCGCGUGCAGGAUGACGGUCCUAUGGAUUGUAAACUGCUUUUGCACAGGAAGAAACAACUCUACGUGUAGAGUCUUGACGGUACUGUGAGAAUAAGGAUCGGCUAACUCCGUGCCAGCAGCCGCGGUAAUACGGAGGAUCCAAGCGUUAUCCGGAAUCAUUGGGUUUAAAGGGUCCGUAGGCGGUCAGGUAAGUCAGUGGUGAAAGCCCAUCGCUCAACGGUGGAACGGCCAUUGAUACUGUCUGACUUGAAUUAUUAGGAAGUAACUAGAAUAUGUAGUGUAGCGGUGAAAUGCUUAGAGAUUACAUGGAAUACCAAUUGCGAAGGCAGGUUACUACUAAUGGAUUGACGCUGAUGGACGAAAGCGUGGGUAGCGAACAGGAUUAGAUACCCUGGUAGUC